UUACCCACUCCCGGCACGGGGNGGUAGUGANNNAAAAUAACGAUACGGGACUCAUCCGAGGCCCCGUAAUCGGAAUGAGUACACUCUAAACCCUUUAACGAGGAUCAAUUGGAGGGCAAGUCUGGUGCCAGCAGCCGCGGUAAUUCCAGCUCCAAUAGCGUAUNUUAAAGUUGUUGCGGUUAAAAAGCUCGUAGUCGAAUUUGUGUCUCGUGCCGCUGGUUCAUCGUCCGCGGUGUUAACUGGCGAGUCGCGNNNCGUCCUGCCGGUGGGCUUAGCUCGCGAGGGCGGCCCAACUCAAUCCUGCCGCGGUGCUCUUCAUUGAGUGUCGAGGUGGGCCGGCACGUNUACUUUGAACAAAUUAGAGUGCUUAAAGCAGGCUAAAACUUCGCCUGAAUACUGUGUGCAUGGAAUAAUGGAAUAGGACCUCGGUUCUAUUUUGUUGGUUUUCGGAACUCCGAGGUAAUGAUUAAUAGGAACGGAUGGGGGCAUUCGUAUUGCGACGUUAGAGGUGAAAUUCUUGGAUCGUCGCAAGACGGACAGAAGCGAAAGCAUUUGCCAANAACGCUUUCAUUGAUCAAGAACGAAAGUUAGAGGUUCGAAGGCGAUCAGAUACCGCCCUAGUUCUAACUAUAAACGAUGCCAGCUAGCGAUCCGUCGACGUUCCUCCGAUGACUCGACGGGCAGCUUCCGGGAAACCAAAGCUUUUGGGUUCCGGGGGAAGUAUGGUUGCAAAGCUGAAACUUAAAGGAAUUGACGGAAGGGCACCACCAGGAGUGGAGCCUGCGGCUUAAUUUGNNNCAACACGGGANACCUCACCAGGCCCGGACACCGGAAGNAUUG
rnacentral:rRNA from 1 species